rnacentral:rRNA from 1 species
UAAUACGGAGGGUGCAAGCGUUAUCCGGAUUCACUGGGUUUAAAGGGUGCGUAGGCGGGCAGGUAAGUCCGUGGUGAAAUCUCUGAGCUUAACUCAGAAACUGCCAUGGAUACUAUUUGUCUUGAAUGUUGUGGAGGUAAGCGGAAUAUGUCAUGUAGCGGUGAAAUGCUUAGAUAUGACAUAGAACACCAAUUGCGAAGGCAGCUUACUACACAAAUAUUGACGCUGAGGCACGAAAGCGUGGGGAUCAAACAGGAUUAGAUACCCUGGUAGUCCACGCCCUAAACGAUGGAUACUCGACAUACGCGAUACACAGUGUGUGUCUGAGCGAAAGCAUUAAGUAUCCCACCUGGGAAGUACGACCGCAAGGUUG